AAAGGAGGCGGCUCUCGGUUGCUCUGCCAGUGUAAUGAUGGUGCUCACACAUGUAGGACUCCUCGGGUGCGGGGUAUCCUUUGGUCUCUGGGCUAAACUGGCUACAAGGCAUUCAAAAACACCGCCGCAGACGCAGGCGAAGCCGGGAGAAGACUGUUGUUUAAAAGCAGCGCGCUGAAGGAUGCUUGUCUUGCCAAAACCUUUCCUGGCAUCUGUAAAAUCUGAGAGGACAAGCUGGCACAAUGGGCGGAGAAAAGCAGGACUUAGAGAUAACCCAGGGAGGCCUGAGACUUUUUGUUGGCCACGGGGCCCGUAAAUUAUCUUGGCAGCCCCAUUUUAGUGUUAGAGGAGCGCGGGACUCCCGUCCAUCACAGGAUCUGGAGGAGAGGCAGUAACAAAGGAACUGCUGUGCAGAAGGGAAGCGAGGGGAACCUCGCUGAACCCUCACCCAGCAGGCUUUAUGAGAUGUAACAUUACUUUAAUGUGCCAUUAUAUCUCCAUUUAGAAAAAGGGUCAUAACAUAGAUGGGGCUGCACUGCUAAACAAUUCUGUCAGAUAAUUGUUCUCAAACCAACCUCCUGCUGAGGGUCUCGGUAACUUCCAUAUCACACUGAUACCGUGCUACGCCUAAAUCCCAAGUAAGCUCACAAAGCAAGGGGGGGAAGGAGGAAGCGAUGUAGUCAGGAGUGGUGAUACAGACAUUUGUAGCAUGGAUGAGUGAAAUGCUUGAAAUAAUAUCGCAGGAGCACUUUAGUGUAUCAGAAAAUAAUUCCUUAUCCAGGAGUACCGCUUUGGAUCAUGUAAAGAGCCAUAUGCCUUCUCAGCAGAGACAAAUUCCUAAAUUCAGCUGAGUUUGGAUCGUGCCUUAGAAAAACCAGAAAUAACUCAUUAUUUUUUCAAACUGUUUAAUGACAGGAGAGAAACAAAAGUGGAUGGAAACCAACUGUGGUGUGGAGUGGGGAUGGAGUGUAGAAACUAGCAUAAUAUUUAACUCAGCUGGAUUUGUUUCUUUGGUUUACAGUUAGGAUGUUUGAUUUGCGUUGGUGAAAGGUAUGGAUGUUUUAUUACUGCUUCCAUUCAAUUACGUGGGCAAAAGUCCUAGGAGCAUCCUGGAGCUCCACCGUGCCAGGCAAUGGAUCAGCACAGGACACAAAAAUGAUGCUUACCGUGAAGAAUUUGUGAUCUAAAUACGGUCAAUUGCAUGGUACACGACUUCACUUUCAUAUAAAUGUACAUUAUAGAAUAUAUCUGCAUAACCUGUACUCAUUACAUACAUCCAUAUAUAUAUAUAUGUCUAUAGUAAUUUCAGCAGAAUUAUACGAUGAGUUUAGAAUGCAAAUUUUUAAUUUCCAAUUUUUAAAUCAUCUGAGACUCUGAAAUUAGAACUAUGAGAUUAUGUUUAAAUAAGGAAAAUUGCAUGAGGUUAGGUUCACCGUUUCGGUUUUAUGGUAUCAGAAUUUACAGGGUUUAAUAACGCAGACAGGGAUCUCCUUGCAAUGAAAAGGGCUUGCACAGAUCCUCCUUCUGUCAAGGCUUCUAGUGACAGCCCAUUACUCAGCUGAACUUGAAGAAUCUCCCCUAGCAUCCUUGAAGGAAAGGGGUUGUGUCGGUUUUUCGGUGCCACGGGCUGAGGCUCUUCUGCAUGCUGCAGAACUCACUCACCUUUGUCAGAAAACGAAAGUUUCUGUCCUCUGGUUUGGAGACAGCCUUCCUAUGGCAAAUCUGUGCCUUGCUGGAUUGUUUGCUCUGCAGCCAGCCCGAAACAAUACAACACCAACAGAUGUGUGAACUUUUCCAUUCAGUGUAAUGAAGUGUUAGCUGCAAAACAGAGUUUUGGCAAUUUAAAUUGCCUCAUGUGCAUCAGGCUGUGAAAGAGGUUUGAAAUAAAUCAUGAAUAAGUUAUAAAUAUUGUAUUUUUGGAAUUAUCAGCUCUAACGAGUCCACUGGCAAUAGAAAGUGAAGACUUAGGCAGAAUGGGGCCUAAUGUCUCUCAUUAAAGUUACCAGUGUUUCUAGAUGAAAUUGCAGCAUUGUGGUGACGUAGCACUGAGUCCAUGGAAAAAGCUGAGAAGACACUUUUCAAGUUUUUAAAACUUGAUGAAGAAAAGAGGAGGCUUUUGGCUGAAAUCUGUCAUCCGACUUCUGCCAAAGAGGAGCGUUUAGAAAAUGUGCACCAUAAUAUUUCAGCACAGUGCUUGUUAUGGAGUUACUGGAUGGUUAAGAGUAGCCUUUGAGGGUAAGAAUUUUCUGUCUCUUGUUUUUUUCUUCACCGACAUAGUUAGAAAAAUGAUUUUGACACUUCUAACUUGCCAUGUCCAUGAGUUACGAGGGAAAGUCUGCGUUCUGUGCAGACUGAAAAUCUUCUGUGCUGAACUGAGAGAAGAUGCGCUGUGGAAUAAAGAAACUGCAACUCCAAAUUAUUUAUUUUAAACUGCAUACCUGCUAGCGCUUUUCCUGUUUGCAGGAGACAAUUUCAGUGGAAGUCUUCUCAUGCCCUUUCCAGCCUGGUGAUGGCAGUACCAAUGAGUGAUGGCAGCCCUGCCGCUUGUGAAGGCAGAAUUCAGUGUUCACGCACUGCAUGAGCUUGUCUGCACUGUCUUCCUUUAGUUUCGGGUACAUGACAAAAUCCCCGAGCGGUCGGAUGAUCAGUCACCUCAUUACACUUGAGGAGGUAGGACUCUUGCCGUGACAUGGCUUCCACAAGGAGAAAAUAGUCACCGUUCCACCUACUAAUAUUACUGGCAAAGGACCACUCUAGAAAGUUGUUCUUAAUGAUAACUUCAAGGCAUUUGCUGCUUAGAAGAUCAGAAACUAGGGAGGUCGAGACUUGGUGGUCUUAAUGUAUGAAAACUGCAAGCAAAUGAACACCUCCUGGUUUUUGAUUUAUCUACUGAGUGAGCUAUCAUGAAGCAAAGCCUAAACUAUUCAUUGUUGUCAAAUAUAAAUGUUUCCUACAGAUUCUCUAUUGUUUCCAAUUCCAAUCUUCUUCUCUAUUUUUUUCAGUAGGUUUUGGUGAGUUACUGCUGAGUUUGGAAAAUUAAGAGGGCGUAGACCAAGGCAAUGACUCGGGGAUGGAUUAUAAGAACAUACUAGGCUGCUAAACCUUUGGGGGAAAGAGGCUGUAUGUUCCUGGGUUUAUAAAGAAAUGGGAGAAUGGUGCCAUAAUUCUGGCUGGGAACUUUUCACAUAGAGUGAUGUUGAUGACCCUAAUGAGAAUAAUAUUGGGAUAUAUUCCAUCUUUGCCUUUUAACGAUCUUGUUUGUAGACAUUUGGAAUUUCGUAUGGAAAAUACUCAAACUCACUUGCCCUUAACUGCAGUUAGAAAAAUUCAGACUCGGCUUCGUUCUACAAAGCUGCUUUGCUUUAAGUAGCAGUUCUGCAAAACAUAACUUCACAUAUUUCUUUUACUCUAUGCUUUAUUACUGAGAAUAUUUGCAUGAAAACAGGGUCUUUGUUUAAAAGUUCCUGCUUUUUAUUCAUCACAGCUCGUUGGGUUGGAAGCAAUGACGAUACCCUUUACAGAAGGCUCCGAUCCCUUCAGAGCAGGAAAAUAUAAGCAGGAAUAGACAAACUUUCAAGAAUCUAAGCUCUUGUUUUCAUGCAAAUGACCUCAUUUCCUUAGUAAUAAAGAAAGGAAAAGGGAUUAAAUAUGUAACAUACAGUGGAAAAAAAAGAAUGUUUCAAAUGUGUUAAGGUUUGUAUAUGGGCAUCGAAUGUUUUUUAAUGUUAUAAUGAUGCCUUACAUUCAACUUUGCUUGCUUUUAUCCUAAAGGAGAAGGUGUGCACAAAGGAUUUUUUUUGUGUGUGUGUGUAGGAUUUUUUAUUCUUUCUACAGGUAACGUAUCUUUCUCAGCUAGAGCAACACUAAUAUAAACCAGCUACUGGAAUAUCACCCAGUGUGUUGCCUAAGCCAAGCCAGGACUAACAAGGCAGUUCUGAAAAUGCUAGCAGCUUAUCUCUCUUAGCAUUCUCAACUUUAUUGCCAUGGAGGAAGAUGUGAUAAUUGGAAAUUUUUCCAGAAAGUUCCAGAUACGGCUCUACAGCCGUUGUGUCAGGCACGACUAGACAAAGCCAAGAGCAGAGCAGAGUGUGGUUAACCAGCUGGCACUGUCCUCCUUGCAACAGCAGGAAACUGUGGAGGAAGAAAAAAGAAGAGGAUUACUCAAUCUGAAAUAUUUGGCAGAAUACAACAUUAAUCCCUCCCCAGUAUAAAAGAUCAUCCAAAUUUUACUUUUGCAUAUGAUGUAAAAGAAAAAUGCAAAUUUUACUUUUGCAUCAGCAGCAUAGGGCCCUCCCACCACUUCACAACAUUAAAGGGAUUGCUAGCUAAAGACCAAGAUGGAAGAAAUGAGUGUCAGCUCAUGUUGCAGAUACUACUUCCUUCACUAUUUUAUCUUUUUUAGCUCCUUGACCUAAUUGAUCUUGCUUCACAGGUGAAAUUUGUUCAAAGUACUUCCCAAAUUUCUGCCACGGUAGUUUUAAUAUAAGCCAGCCAUGCUCUUUAAAGGAAAACACCAUG